GAUGAACGCUGGCGGCGUGCCUAAUACAUGCAAGUCGAACGAGUUCUGAUUAUUGAAAGAUGCUUGCAUCUUGAUUUAAUUUUGAACGAGUGGCGGACGGGUGAGUAACACGUGGGUAACCUGCCCUUAAGUGGGGGAUAACAUUUGGAAACAGAUGCUAAUACCGCAUAAAUCCAAGAACCGCAUGGUUCUUGGCUGAAAGAUGGCGUAAGCUAUCGCUUUUGGAUGGACCCGCGGCGUAUUAGCUAGUUGGUGAGGUAACGGCUCACCAAGGCAAUGAUACGUAGCCGAACUGAGAGGUUGAUCGGCCACAUUGGGACUGAGACACGGCCCAAACUCCUACGGGAGGCAGCAGUAGGGAAUCUUCCACAAUGGACGCAAGUCUGAUGGAGCAACGCCGCGUGAGUGAAGAAGGCUUUCGGGUCGUAAAACUCUGUUGUUGGAGAAGAAUGGUCGGCAGAGUAACUGUUGUCGGCGUGACGGUAUCCAACCAGAAAGCCACGGCUAACUACGUGCCAGCAGCCGCGGUAAUACGUAGGUGGCAAGCGUUAUCCGGAUUUAUUGGGCGUAAAGCGAGCGCAGGCGGUUUUUUAAGUCUGAUGUGAAAGCCCUCGGCUUAACCGAGGAAGUGCAUCGGAAACUGGGAAACUUGAGUGCAGAAAAGGACAGUGGAACUCCAUGUGUAGCGGUGAAAUGCGUAGAUAUAUGGAAGAACACCAGUGGCGAAGGCGGCUGUCUGGUCUGUAACUGACGCUGAGGCUCGAAAGCAUGGGUAGCGAACAGG
rnacentral:rRNA from 2 species